rnacentral:rRNA from 1 species
UACAGAGGGGGCAAGCGUUGUUCGGAAUUACUGGGCGUAAAGGGCGCGUAGGCGGCGUGCUAAGUCGAACGUGAAAUCCCCGGGCUCAACCCGGGAACUGCGUCCGAGACUGGCAGGCUUGAAUCCGGGAGAGGGAUGUGGAAUUCCAGGUGUAGCGGUGAAAUGCGUAGAUAUCUGGAGGAACAUCGGUGGCGAAGGCGGCAUCCUGGACCGGUAUUGACGCUGAGGCGCGAAAGCCAGGGGAGCAAACGGG